rnacentral:ncRNA from 1 species
GAUAAGUUUAAUUCUUGUUUUUAUUUCUAUUUUUUGCAAGUAUUCUAUGAGAGAUCUGCCUUGCUUGUCCGAUAAGUAAAACUUUGACAUGUGGUUCUCAGUGUAGAGAAUUGGGUUAUUGAUUAGUGUUUAAAUUAGUUAUGCAGGUUUAAGUACGGGUUAAAUUUGUGCCAGCAGCCGCGGUUAGACUGGAAGUGUGAAUAGAAGUGUGUAAGUGAACAGUUAAGAAUUGAUCGUGUUUUGAACUAUUAGUCUUCUAGUGAAAGGUGAAAUUUUUCUUCGUUAUUCUAAAGUUCAAGUAGAUUUUUCUGAGGCUGUGAAGGUUUGGGUCCAAAAUAGGAUUAGAUACCCUAGUAUGCCAAGCUGGAAACAAUAAUGCUCGAUUAGUAAACAGUUAUGUUCUCGAAAUUUAAAGAAUUUGGCGGCUCUUCAGUCCAGUUAGAGGAACCUGUCCUGUCAACGAUAAACCACGAAUUAUUUCACUUUUCUUUGCAUGUUUCAAUUAGUAUACCGUCAUUAUUAGAUAGUCUUUAGAUAGAUCUGUCUUAGUAGAAUAAGUUUCUAGUAUAUUAGAUCAGGGUGCUGUCGAUAGGGAAGUAGAGAUGGGUUACAAUAAUAUUUAGUUAUACGGAUGGUGAGCUGUAGUUUUUACCUGAAGGCGGAUUUAAUAGUAGAAAGAAGAUGUGUUUCAAGCUUUUUCGAUAGUGGUUCUGAAGUGUGUACAAAUCGCCCGUCGCUCUCAUUACCAAGGUGGGAUAAGUCGUAACAAGGUAGGUGUGUCGGAAGGUGUACCUAGGAUUAA